UUGACUUAUUUGUUUUUUACUCGGAGACGCCGCUAUAAUACAUGAGAGUUUGUGACCUCCGGCGGGCGCCCCUCGCCCCGGAGGGCGUGGGCUGCGGUCCCCCGGGGGGUCCCGCGCCGCCGAAGCAACCUGGAUACGUUCGCGAUGGUUUGAAGUUGCCUUUCGGCUUCCUGUAAUGAUCCCUCCGCUGGUUCACCAACGGAGA
rnacentral:misc_RNA from 1 species